rnacentral:tRNA from 1 species
GGUGAGAUUAGCUCAGCUGGUUAGAGCGUCGGAUUGUGGUUCCGAAGGUCGUGGGUUCGAACCCCACACCUCACCC